rnacentral:lncRNA from 1 species
GAAAAAUAAAAAAACAAAAAUAAAAAGUAAAAAUAAUAAAAACUAGAGGCUCUAAAGAGCCUGUGUCGCUCACCUUGGUCUAUGUGAAUAUUAAACAAAGGAAGCAGAUGGAUUCAUGACAAAAUUGUGUUUUGGUGAUGGUGAUGUGUUUGUACAUCUUACUUUACUAAACAGUCUUGCGGCUUACAAUUAUCUCUAUCUAUAAUGAACUUGGCCCAGUAGUUUCAGUGGAAAAUGUUAAUACAAAUUUACGAAUUUUAUGAAAAUUGUUAAAAAUUGACUAUAAAGGACAAUAACUCCUUAGGGGGUCAAUUGACCAUUUCGGUCAUUUGACUUAUUUGUAAAUCUUACUUUGCUGAACAUUAUUGCUGUUUACAGUUUAUCUCUAUCUAUAAUAAUAUUCAAG